GCCGGAGUGGCGGAACGGAAGACGCGGCGGACUCAAAAUCCGCUGCCCCUCGCGGGCGUGGGGGUUCAAAUCCCUCCUCCGGCACCA
rnacentral:tRNA from 1 species